rnacentral:rRNA from 1 species
UACGUAGGGUGCGAGCGUUGUCCGGAAUUAUUGGGCGUAAAGAGCUCGUAGGCGGUUUGUCGCGUCGACUGUGAAAACCUACAGCUUAACUGUGGGCUUGCAGUCGAUACGGGCAGACUUGAGUUCGGUAGGGGAGACUGGAAUUCCUGGUGUAGCGGUGAAAUGCGCAGAUAUCAGGAGGAACACCGGUGGCGAAGGCGGGUCUCUGGGCCGAAUACUGACGCUGAGGAGCGAAAGCGUGGGGAGCGAACGG